rnacentral:rRNA from 1 species
AGUGAACGCUGGCGGUAGGCCUAACACAUGCCAGUCGAACGGCAGCACAGUAAGAGCUUGCUCUUACGGGUGGCGAGUGGCGGACGGGUGAGGAAUACAUCGGAAUCUACUUUUUCGUGGGGGAUAACGUAGGGAAACUUACGCUAAUACCGCAUACGACCUACGGGUGAAAGCAGUGGAUCUUCGGACCUUGCGCGAUUGAAUGAGCCGAUGUCGGAUUAGCUAGUUGGCGGGGUAAAGGCCCACCAAGGCGACGAUCCGUAGCUGGUCUGAGAGGAUGAUCAGCCACACUGGAACUGAGACACGGUCCAGACUCCUACGGGAGGCAGCAGUGGGGAAUAUUGGACAAUGGGCGCAAGCCUGAUCCAGCCAUACCGCGUGAGUGAAGAAGGCCUUCGGGUUGUAAAGCCCUUUUGUUGGGAAAGAAAAGCAGCAGGUUAAUACCCCGCUGUUCUGACGGUACCCAAAGAAUAAGCACCGGCUAACUUCGUG